UACAGAGGGUGCAAGCGUUGUUCGGAAUUAUUGGGCGUAAAGCGCGUGUAGGCGGCGUGACAAGUCGGGUGUGAAAGCCCUCAGCUCAACUGAGGAAGUGCGCCCGAAACUGUCGUGCUUGAGUGCCGGAGAGGGUGGCGGAAUUCCCGGUGUAGAGGUGAAAUUCGUAGAUAUCGGGAGGAACACCAGUGGCGAAGGCGGCGACCUGGACGGACACUGACGCUGAGACGCGAAAGCGUGGGGGAGCAAACAGG
rnacentral:rRNA from 1 species